rnacentral:rRNA from 1 species
GAUGAACGCUGGCGGCGUGCCUAAUACAUGCAAGUCGAGCGAACAGACGAGGAGCUUGCUCCUCUGACGUUAGCGGCGGACGGGUGAGUAACACGUGGAUAACCUACCUAUAAGACUGGGAUAACUUCGGGAAACCGGAGCUAAUACCGGAUAAUAUAUUGAACCGCAUGGUUCAAUAGUGAAAGACGGUUUUGCUGUCACUUAUAGAUGGAUCCGCGCCGCAUUAGCUAGUUGGUAAGGUAACGGCUUACCAAGGCGACGAUGCGUAGCCGACCUGAGAGGGUGAUCGGCCACACUGGAACUGAGACACGGUCCAGGCUCCUACGGGAGGCAGCAGUAGGGAAUCGUCCGCAAUGGGCGAAAGCCUGACGGAGCAACGCCGCGUGAGUGAUGAAGGUCUUCGGAUCGUAAAACUCUGUUAUUAGGGAAGAACAAAUGUGUAAGUAACUAUGCACGUCUUGACGGUACCUAAUCAGAAAGCCACGGCUAACUACGUG